rnacentral:rRNA from 1 species
GACGAACGCUGGCGGCGUGCUUAACACAUGCAAGUCGAACGAAGUGGCGAACGGGUGAGUAACGCGUAAUCAACCUGCCCUUCAGAGGGGGACAACAGUUGGAAACGACUGCUAAUACCGCAUACUGAAGGAGGGGAUUGCGUCUGAUUAGCUAGUUGGAGGGGUAACGGCCCACCAAGGCGAUGAUCAGUAGCCGGUCUGAGAGGAGGAACGGCCACAAUGGGACUGAGAAACGGCCCAGACUCCUACGGUAGGGAGCAGUGGGGAACCUGCCGCAAAGGACGAAAGGCGGACGGGGCAACGCCGCGUGAGUGAUGACGGCCUUCGGGUGGGAAAGCUCUGUUAAGCGGGACGCGGUACCGGAAGAGAAAGCCACGGCUAACUACGUGCCAGCAGCCGCGGUAAUUC